CCUACGGGAGGCAGCAGUGGGGAAUAUUGGACAAUGGGCGAAAGCCUGAUCCAGCAAUGCCGCGUGAGUGAUGAAAGCCUUCGGGUCGUAAAGCUCUUUUACCAGGGAUGAUAAUGACAGUACCUGGAGAAUAAGCUCCGGCUAACUCCGUGCCAGCAGCCGCGGUAAUACGGAGGGAGCUAGCGUUGUUCGGAAUUACUGGGCGUAAAGAGUACGUAGGCGGUUAUUCAAGUCAGAGGUGAAAGCCCGGGGCUCAACCCCGGAACUGCCUUUGAAACUAGAUAACUAGAGUCUUGGAGAGGUUAGUGGAAUUCCGAGUGUAGAGGUGAAAUUCGUAGAUAUUCGGAAGAACACCAGUGGCGAAGGCGACUAACUGGACAAGUACUGACGCUGAGGUACGAAAGCGUGGGGAGCAAACAGGAUUAGAUACCCUGGUAGUCCACGCCGUAAACGAUGAUAACUAGUUGUUCGGUCACUUGGUGACUGAGUGACGCAGCUAACGCAUUAAGUUAUCCGCCUGGGGAGUACGGUCGCAAGAUUAAAACUCAAAGGAAUUGACGG
rnacentral:rRNA from 1 species